UCCUUUCUAUUAUAAGUAACUUACAUAUAUGUAUCAAACUAUUGAUUUGUUUCAUUUCAGUUGUAUUCUAAAAAUAUUUCAUACACUAUUUAACUGGAACACAACAGUAAGUUAGUUGCGUAAUAACAAUUGAACACUUUAUACCGAAAACUACCAUUACAACUGUUUUCACAUUUUCUACCAAAAAUGUUCUCCUCUAUAACAUCACAUCUGUAAGAGAAAAAAUGCAUAGUCAUGUAGAGCAUUUAAUGAUCCAGGGACCGGAGCAGAGAGGAUCAGAAACCCUUGCCUAGGGAAGAUGGGUGGGAGCUAAACAGGGUAUAAAGUGUUUAUUUGUCAAAUAUUUGAAUAACAUAGCCUUAAAUGCUAUUGAUUGAUUGUAUCUUGUUUAACGUUCUUCUCAAUAAUUUUUAAUUCAUAUGGAGACGUCACCAAGACCGGUGAAGGGCUUCAAAUUUAGGCCUAUGCUCGGCGCUUACGGCCAUUGAGCAGUGAGGGCUCUUUAGCGUGCCACACCUACUGUGACACGGGACAUCCGUUUUAUAGGCCAUCUCCGAGGACCCGUGACAUUCACACCUGAUGCCGAGAGUUUGGUGAUGGAACUGUCACUACCUGUUUAACGAACUAGGUCUGUCGCGGCCGGGAUUCGAACCCCGACCGACCGCAUACAGAGCGAACACUUUACCUCAGGACUACCGCAGCGGUGGUAAUGCUAUUGAUACUAAAUUCUGAUUAUAAAUAUUUAAUAAGAACAGGUGGCCUUUACCAAAAUUGUAAAUUUCAUGAUCCAAGGACAGGGUUUUAGUUUAGUGUGGGAUCAAAAUUAUCAUAGUGACCAUUGUUUUAACAACAUAUAAAAUUUAUAUUUCAAUGUGUUGAAAAGUUUCAGGACAUUCCUUCCAAUCCAUAUUUGUUAUUUUCUUACAGAAAAUGUACUACUUAGUUAUGCGAAAAUAAAGAAUAAUGUAUAAACCUUUUUUAAUGUUGUUCCUGCUCAUUAACAUUACAUACAGAAUUCAUGAAGACAGCUUGGCGCUUUUCAGUACUUUGAUUUAAUGUUGUUGGGAUAUGACAUGAAGUUGGUCACGUGAUCAAAUCUUAUAACGCCCGAAGGGCGUUAUAGUAGAUUUGAUCACGUACCAACUUCAUGUCAUAUCCCAAUAACAUUCAAAAAUGAUAUUUUAUUUCUUAUAUUUAUAUUUUCUAUUUUGAUUUGUGUUCUUACCGAGCUUCCAUGAUUAUGUAGCAGAUGACCAAAAUAACGAUCGUAGAACACAAAAUAUAGUUCGUAAGAGUUUUAUCGAAUAAAAAAUAAGGAACAAUAUCAAAGAGAAUAUAAGAUAUAGAAAUUUAAUUGAAUAUGUUAAAAAAAAAAGACGAAACAUGUGUAAAAAUAAAGGUAAUUUAGAGCGUAAAGUUAACUGAAAUGACGACAAGAAGAGCGGAGUAAACUACAUCCGUGGUAUGAUUUGGUCGCGAUCAGAGAUGGAGAAACUGGCGUCGGUCUAGCUUACUAAGUUGAAAACGCAGUUGUUGAUCACAGAUUACGACAGAAAUUCAAAGGAUCUGAGAGAAUUGAUGGUGGAUAUGAUGGGUCAAGUUAACGUUAAGCUCUUAGUCAGGUUUUUGGAAAGAAACAACGGUAUGUUCAUCGUUAGGACUCGUGGUUGUAGCCAUGCAGGAGACGAUUCAAGACAGUAGGACAGAUUUAGACCAAGUACAGGAUUUUAAUGAAGACUCGCACCGGUACCCUGACAUGAACAUGUAAAUUUUUCGAGCCUCGAAACCAGCCUCGCUUAUGAUCAUGCCGAGUCAUAGCCGUGAUGGAAGUUGCCAGGAAACAACAGGUUAACUUAUCAUCAUGAAGUAAAUACAUGUAGGCUUAUAACUCUGCCUACAUGUUUUCGCUUCCAAUAUCAUAGAACUUUAUUUUAUAAAUUCGCCAUGCAGAAGUUGCAGACGGUAUUUAAAACUGUAUAAAAUGAAACAACAGAACGAUAUAUGUUUAAUGUUUCUCUUUUAUAAAUUGAUGACAUUCUUGUUUGUUUACAAAAUAAACUAUAAAUAUC